AGAUCGUUGAGCUGCAUUGGCGGGAUUUCGCCGUCUUCGUUUCUCUUUCUUCGCGGACGAACACGCGCUGGGGCUGCAGGCUUGCAGAUCCCUGGUCCUUGACUGGAUAUGCGUUAGGGGCUUGUAGCUCAGUUGGUUAGAGCGCGCGCUUGAUAAGCGUGAGGUCGGAAGUUCAAGUCUUCCCAGGCCCACCACUUUCAUCGAGUGUGCAUUCGUCUUCUGGUUACGGGGCCAUAGCUCAGCUGGGAGAGCGCGUGCUUUGCAAGCAUGAGGUCGUCGGUUCGAUCCCGUCUGGCUCCACCAGAUGGUUUGAUCACCGAGAUCUUGUACCGUCGUCCGCGAAACAUCACUUCGCACUUGCUAGUCCGGAUGGACAGUAAGCUGCGUGAUUUCUGACAUCGUAAAGAGGAGAUCGAUCCGAGUUGGAUCGUGCGGAGAAUAUCUGCGCGAUACUUCAUUAUCUCCGGAUCAUUUCGGCGCUCGCGCGCCUUUCAGUGUAGCUCACAAGGCUGCGGCUGAGAGACGGGCGAGUUGUGAAUGAUCCUUUUAGCGAAGCUUGACCGCCUCGCUAUCGGAACGAUCUUACGAAGCAAGCUGGUCUUUCUAGUCAAUGUCCGGCUGCAGAUAGCGUUCAUCGAGGGCGCGUGCCGCAAGGUAAUUCUGCAGACAACAUUCUGCCGAGUGUGUGGACAUUGAUAAUGAGAGCAAUCAAGUGCCUUAAGGGUGUUCGGUGGAUGCCU
rnacentral:tRNA from 1 species